GCUCUAGGCGAAGACCGCGGCCCCGUCCCCGCGCCUCCACCGCCUUCUUCCAGGAGGAGGGGCCGUGCGGCGCCUGCCCGGGGGCCCUCAGGCCGCAGGCGGGCGCGAGCUUCAGGGAACUUAGGGGGCUCCCGCCUCCCCGGCCACGCGAGCGGGAACAGUCUCCUCCACUCGGAGCGCCACUCAUCAUGCCUUACCUGGAUGAUGCAGAAGUCCCUGGAAACAGAAGGUCUCACCCUUCUUUAUCUUUCUCAUGGCUUUCCAAGGCUCUUUAUCAUGUUACUUUCCUGCUCAGAAUUCUUUAAUGACUUGCCUCAAUGACCAGAUACAUGUGAUCUACAGUCAGCCUUCCAGCCUCAUCAUUCCUCUUCCAUUUCCUCCCCAGAAACACUGUACUUUAUGAAGCUCCUCCAAGACAUUAUAGAUCCAGACUCCUGUGCCUGACCACUGCCCAUGGCCAACUCUCUGCUGAUGACUGGACUUGACUACACAAGUUGUUGGCCAUCUUAAAACCACUCAAAGUUGACGGUCUCCUCUCCUGCCUCCUGCGGCUUCCAUUACCAUGGCAGAGACUGUGGUGUCUGAGGUGGUGUAGCGUACUGAAGCAAGGCUGUCUUGAAGAAGAGGAGACAACUCACAAUUCUACCACCUUUGUUGACCUCUUCUUCCCCCCAACUUAUUGCUGUAGAGGCUACCUGAGCUCAUUGUCCCUGGAGAUGGACCAAAUAGAAGAAUAAGCAGUGCCUGUGUGGUGAGCUUCAAGAGGCAUCUGUUCUCUGGGGAGUGGGUGGGUGGUAAAGCAAAGACGGGAGAUGUGUAUAUUAGCUAUCCAUUACUGUAUAAUUAAUUAUACACAAAACUAAACUAUACACUAAACUAAAACUUCACAGCUUAAAACAGGAAAUAUGUAUUAUCUCACACAAUUUCUGAGAGUCAGGAAUCUGAAAAUGGCUUAGCUAGUUUGGUUCUGGCUCAGGGUGACCUAUGGAGUUGCAGCCAAGAUGUCAUCUGGGACUACUAUCAUUGGAAGGCUCAGCUGGGGCUGGAGGCUACACUUCCAAGAUGGCUCACUUAUAGGGCUAUUGGUGGGAGGCUUCAGUUCCUCUCCACAUGAAACUUUCCUCAUGCCAUGGAACUGGCUUCCCUCAGAGUGAAAGACCCAAGAGAGAGACUAAGACAGAAGCUGCAAUGUUUUUAUGACCUAGUCUUGGAAGUGACUUACUGUCAUUUCUACUGUAUUUUAUUCAUUAGAAGCAAGUCAUUAAGUCCAGCCCACAUUCAAAGUAAGAGGAUUUAAGCUGAACCUCUUGAAAAAAUGGUAUCAAAGUAUUUACGGACAUUUUAAAAACUACCACAAUACAUAUAGGUGAACUUCACAAGGUGUAGACAUGGGCUGAGACAGAAUAUUGGAUAAUAUCUCAUUCUGCAAACAGCAGCCUCAUCUGUAAUAAAAUCCCAGCAUUCAGAAAUUAUCACGAUCAAGUAGGAAAAGGGCUUGUUGGAAAAAACUUAUCAAAGAUGUUACUUCAUUUAUCCAUUUAUUCUGAGCCAUAGCAUAAUAGCGACAAAUUGUGUGUCCUGUGUAAUUUGGAUACCUCUGCUCAAUAAUAGCUGAACAGAUUUUAUCCUAUUUUUAGAAUAGUUAAUAUAUACACAUGGCACAAAAUUUAAAAGGUAUAAAAGUUUCUGGUUCAAAAAUAAGAUUCCCUCAUUUUCUUUUUUUCUGAUUCUUUGAAUGCAAUUCGAUUUACUGAUUUCUCAUGUAGCCUUAGAAAGUAUUCUAUGUACUUACAAACAUAUAUGUACACAUAUUUUUUCUUUCCCACAAAUAAAAUACUGUAUGCAU
rnacentral:lncRNA from 10 species